AGCAAAGUGCGUUCGAAACAAAAGACAUCCUUCGAUGGUAUCGCGCGAACAAACAAAUCCGAAAGUAAUCGCGAACCCGGUGAGAUUGGUUUUAUUUAUGUCGGGGUAAUAAUAACGCAACGUUUCGUUGCGGUCCGACGGCGCACAGCCUAGGCAACGGUCGGCCAUAAAACGUGCUGAAAUUAUUCGAACGUACCUCGGUCGUGUCUUUCGUCGGGGCGACUUUGUUCUCCUCCUUGAGCAUCUUCUCGUGGGCCCCAUCGUUGAUCUCGGUCUCGUUGUUCGGCUUCCCCAUGGUGUUCUCUUUCGGCGGUUCGCGCUUGUCCUCGUCCGGAAGCGCCUUGUACGUGGCAACAACUGCCGCUUCUUUCGCGACACCGUUCGCCUCGGCACUAUCUAAAUCCAACCUCCCACUCUCCAUUGCCGGGCGUUCUACGGUACACGGAACGGUGUCCCAAGGACGUAUUCAAAAGCGUCGCGUUUACGCAACGGGGUUGUGAUCGGAAUCGAAGGAAAUCCUUUCUCUUUUCCCGGAGGAGAUUCGUAAGGGAAACCCUGCGGCCACCGUUCCUCGGCGUUCCAGCAACAAGAAUGACCAAGCGAACGCGUUUUAACCCUCCGUGUUAGCUGGUUGGCUCCCUCGGCCCCCUUUUGUCCUGGACCUAUGUAUGUACGUACGUGUGUGUAUUCACUUUUACCACCACAAGCACACCGAACGAGAUCGCUAUCAGGGCCGACCCUUGUCCCUAAAAGGUUCUGCCUCUUCAGGGCCCUGUCCGAUCAAGUUACAGAUUUUUACGGCCACAGUGAACGCUCGUCGGGUAAAUAGCAGACAUGCAAAGUCAAAUUUUUCAAUUUAAAUUGCCAGAUUGAAGAAAAACUUAUUUAUUGUUCCAGUACGAGUCGUAUGCGCGCGGCUAUCGAACAGAUGUUGGAAAAUAAAUAUUCAUAAACUAUUUAGAAAGACGUUACGAAUCAGUUGUUCCCGGAGUUUGCUACAGCGAUGUUCUUACAAUGGUAGAUUGGAUUAACAGAGGUCUCAAUUUAGAACUAUUUACGCAGCUUCCGGAACAAAGGGAACGCCGUUCGAGCGAAAUAAUGGAAUGCUAAUAGGAGGACAAAGAAAAUAGUUUUGGACCGGGGUACCGCCGCGCAGCGGUCCACAGCUGACAUUUGCUCUGAUUUCGGUUGAAUCGAUUCAAACGACGAAUGGGUCAGUCGCACCGGGCAGACACAUCAGCGGCAAAUGUUUCUUCGGCCACCCAGCGCGUCCGCGUUUACGAUUGUUAAACGCACGUCUGGCGCCGAUUGUUAGACGAUUAGAACGAAAAUCACGGCUAACGAUGUAUCAACGAGGCCCGAAGCAACGGCUGUGAUCACGGUGGAACCGAAAAGGGCGUGACUUCUCUUUAAAGUGCAAUGCACUGAAUAAUACCGUUUAAAUUCAACGUACGAACCUGGAUCGGCGAGAUAAUCGAUCUUGCGCGAAUUAUCGAUCGUAUCUGCUAGAGAGAUCCCAAUCGAGGGUACAUUGGACCGAGUUUCACUGUAAUUAAAUUAUCAAUGUAAAUAUACGACGCCACGUUAAAUCGUU